UACGUUCAUCCCUCCGGGGACGCAAGUAGGACAGAGUCCGAAGGAACGGGAG
rnacentral:ncRNA from 10 species